UACGGAGGAUGCAAGCGUUAUUCGGAAUCACUGGGCGUAAAGCGCUCGUAGGUGGCCUUCCAAGUCUGCUGUCAAAGCACAAGGCUUAACCUUGUAAAGGCAGUGGAAACUGAAAUGGCUAGAGUGCGGUAGGGGUAGAGGGAAUUCCCAGUGUAGCGGUGAAAUGCGUAGAGAUUGGGAAGAACACCGGUGGCGAAAGCGCUCUACUGGGCCUGCACUGGCACUGAGAGACGAAAGCUAGGGGAGCGAAAGGG
rnacentral:rRNA from 1 species